UUUUUUUUUUUUUUUUUUUUUUUAACGGAGAAGGGUUAGAGAAAAACCACGCAAUACUUAUCUGGUUCAUAACCCCUAGAUCUAGGUCAGUCUGGGUUAUAAAGCAAAGCAACCAUGCCAAGGAGAAAAUUCCGGAUUUCUUUUGACUUCCACUUAAUGUUAAAACCUGCACAGUUUUGUUUUUUGAUAGAGAUUUGUAAAUAAUCUUCUUAGACCCAGCAUGAUGCUAUUUGGAAGGAUAACUAAAGGAACAGAAGCCAAUGGUAAAAGAAAAAUAGUAAUAGAAACUGAUGGGUGCCACCCACGUUAUAGGGAGUCCUUAGGCUCCAACCAGACAAAAACAUUUCAUGUUUCUUGUGUAGCAAAUGGCCCUUCUAACAAGCUGAUCACCUGGGCUGGAGACGUUUUUACCAUUUAAAUGAGAUCUGCAAUGUUCCGUAGGAAGGCUCAUGCAUUACUUACAGUGUCAAGAUAAAAGGAAACCAGCAGUGAAGGUGAAUCAGAGUAAUAAGUAUUUAAAAUGCUUUAGCUCAAAGGCACAGAGUUCUUCUCUUUCAUUCCUUCUACUAACCAGCGACCAGAUGAACAGGUGUGGACUUGCUCAACUGGAUGACAUGUGGCAGGAAACAUUUCACUUCAAAGUUGCAAACUAUUUGACAUUCAACAGUUUUUCAUUGUGGGUGGGCAGACGAGAGAAUUCGGCUUCACCUCAGCUCCCACAGUUCACUGGUCCUGCACUGAUGGAUGGGGGAACGGAGGGGUUUCCCUAACUUCCCUGAACCUGCCUGCAGAGCUCUGGAUGCUUCUGCGAGGAAGUCCCAGGACUGAGUGCUCACGUGGCUGACAUUAGAAUGCCUGACUCUUUGCCCCCAAUCCUGUCAACAUCUGGCAUUUCAACAUUUCUGCCCCAUCUCAGGUCAGUGUGCCUAAAGCUUCAGGUAAAUCCCAAGGAGCUCAUAAAGGAGCAAGGCUGGGACUCCCUUUUAACAUAUUCCCAGCCCAGAGGAUACGAACCCCACAAAUACGCCAACGAACCCCACAAAUAUGUCAACGCCUCUAAACCAAAACACUCAAGAAUUUCCUGGUGCCUGAGAAGUUUAACAUUAAUUCACUACUGAAUUCAAAUAGCUUCUUCCCACUUAAUUCCCUAAAAGGCUCCAUUCGCCACAGUACCCCAAUUCUCUGGGUACAAGGAAAUGGCAUUUCAAGCAUUGUGUCUAUCAUUAAACCCUCUGCAGCAUAAAAAAUAUUUUAAAUUUACUACAGGAAAAUUGCACGGUUAUUUUAUUGUAUAAAAGGUGGUUUUUAGGAGUAGUGGUGGAAAGUUCCAUAAAUGAAGUGCAGACUCAGAUGUCUGGGGUGUGUUUGUUAGGAAGGAGAGCAAUUUUCCUCAGACUAGUCCUGACUUGAUUUCCACAAACCUUUCCAAACGCCUUCCCUGGCCCCUCACCCCCAUCCCCACCUGCCGCAGCUCCCUGGGGCAGCUCUGGCCAUCCCAUGGGUUGGGAACCCACCCCCACUGGGUUCCUUUCUCUCCAAGUCUUGGGUCAGCUGUCCACCUGAGCUGCCUCAGCAGGUGCCGAGGGAGAGGCUUCUAGUCUCCCUGACCUGUCUUCACAGCACUUAUCUCAGAGAUUAAAUAACUACCUGAGGAAGUUGUUUAAUGUCCACCUCUCUCAUCAAAAUAAAUAUGCUACUUGGACAUAGCUCAGAGCCAUUUCAUCUCCCUAGGGUCCAGCAACAUGCAGCUACUGGAUAUAAGUGGCUGUUAAGUGAAUAAGUACAUGAUUGGACAAGAAAAAAAAAAAUCACAGGAUGCACUGGGUUCUGUUGUAGCCUGAGCCCCCUCUACUUCACCCUACCCAACCUUGUUAUCCUUCCUGGGCCUUUAGAUGGUCAUUUCUUUUGCUUCAGAUGCCCCAGAUGAUGCUACUGCUGAAAGUGGUACCAGGACUUCUGCAAGGAAAGCUCUCUGGGUGUGUUGCCCAUCACAUGGCAAAGACUCUGAGGCAUGUUCCAUUAUUUAUGGCUGCCAAUAACUUAGUCACCCACAGUCCCAUUCUAGAGGCAAAACAAUUUAUGAGGAGCAGCUAGCUCAGGAUUGGGUGUCAAGAGAGCAGGAAUGCACCAUUUUCUCUCUCUGAACCUCCGCUCAACCAGAGGAUUAUUAUGACUCCUUCAAACCAACAUGUAGGGCAAGUUUUUGACUAGUCUUAAUGGACUAGACAGAUUUAUUAGAAACAAGCAAUAGGGGUAUUCCUGGGAACCUUCAAAGAGAAGGGAAGAAACAUAAAGUUAUGCAUUUAUGUUCAAAUGAAUUUAUUUUUUUUUACUUUUUUUUAUUUUUAAAAUUUAAAUUCAAUUAAUUAACAUACAACGUAUUAUUAGUUUUAGAGGUGGAGUUCAGUGAUUCAUCAGUCUUAUAUAACGCCCAGUGCUCAUUACUACAUCACAUGGCCUCCUUAAUGCCCAUCACCCAGUUGCCUUAUUUGCCCAGCCCCCUCCCCUCCAGCAACCCUCAGUUUGUUUCCUAUGAUUAAGAGUCUCUUAUGGUUUAUGUCCCUUUCUGAUUUUGUCUUGUUUUAUUUUUCCCUCUCUUCCCCUAUGAUCCUGUUUUGUUUCUUAAAUUCCAUGUAUGAGUGAGAUCAUAUGAUAAAUGUCUUUCUCUGAUUGACUUAUUUCACUCAGCAUAAUAUCCUCUAAUUCCAUCCACAUUGUGACAAAUGGCAAGAUUUCAUUUUUUUGAUGCCUGAAUAAGAUUCCAUGGUAUAUAUAUGCCAUUUCUUCUUUAUCCAUUCAUCUGUCGACAGGCAUCUGGGCUUUCUCCAUAGUUUGGCUAUUGUGGACACUGCUGCUAUAAACAUUGUGGUGCAGGGGCCCCUUUGGAUGAUUACAUUUGUAUCUUUGGGGGUAAAUACCUAGUAGUGCAAUUGCUGGGUCAUAGGGUUACUUUUAAUUUUUUUAAAGAUCCUAUUUAUUCAUUUGCGAGAGAGAGUUCGUGCAAGUGGGCAGAGGAGUGGAGGGAGAGGCACAAGCAGACUCUACUCUGAGCACAGAGCCCAACACAGGGCUUGAUCCCAUGACCCCGAGAUCAUGACCUGAGCUGAAAUCAAGAGUUGGAUGUUUAACCAACUGAGACACCCAGGCACCCCUUGAAUGAAUUUUUAAUUAAUUAAAUAAAAGUUUUCAUUUAUGAAGAAGUCUCAGAUAGCACCUUGUGAGUAUAAGCAGAUAUUGUAUAUCCAGAGAUUACAGAUGUCCAGAUGUGGCCACAGUCAUUAGCAAAGACAAGCAGUUAUCAUGUAAUGAAUGUCAGAGAGCCUAAAUUCCAAGUAUCUGGUGUAGCAGUUUUACUAGUUGAAAGUGGAAAGCACAUGGCCCUUGGAGCCAGCGAGACCCACGCUAGCUCUGUGAUCCUGCUUUAUAUAAGCUUCAGCUCCGUCAUCUAUAAAAUAGAAGUAACAGCAUCCACCUCACCUCACUGUGAGCAUUAGGCACAAUAAAUAAAAAGCAGUCAACUCAGUACCUGCCCAUAGUUGGCACUCAGUAAGUAAUAGCUAUUGUUAUUAUCAUUAAAACAGGUUUGACAUGUUUAUCUCUACUUCUCAGAGCAUCAUCACCCUCUCCAGCAAUAUCUGUCAUAUUUGUGUGCUUACCGGAUUUAGGUCAGCCUCCCCCACUUGGCUACAAGCUCCAUGAGGGCAAGAAGCCUCAUGACAUGACAGCUCCAAGUGAGCAUCUGCUCAUCCUCCUCCUCC
rnacentral:lncRNA from 1 species